CAUAGCUCUUUGUUGAGAAGGGUUGCUUAUUGCACACUCUUUGUUAAAAGUCCACUAUUCUUUAGACUCUUUGAUGUUGGAAGGUUGUUUCUAGGUUCUCAUGUUAAAAUCAUGGCAUAUCAUUCAAAAACUAGGAUGGAUAGCCUUACAUUUUCCUUUAUUAUCUUUUCUCUGAGCGGAUGGAGGUAAAACUUAGUGUUUCUUUCAGGCAAAAACACAUAAAUGGCUCCUAACAGUGAGAAACAAACCAGAAGAUUCUUUGAAUUGAAGAGCAGUCUUAUAGAAAACAAAAGUUGCAUUAUAUUUAUAGAGCAACUCUUUUUAUAAUAUUUUGUUCUCAGGAGUUGACCAUAUUUUUGUGUAUGUAAUUUGCAUCUCCUUCAUGCCUUCCUAAUACAACAUCUUCAUAAAAAAAUAAAAAAAUGGCAGUGUCCAUGCCAGCUUGUGCAUACCUCAACUGUUCCACCGAGUGUCCACCCAAAGCUUAGGCAGAUGAGAAGAAAUUACCUAGUGUUUUUUGUCUCGGUUGGGAUUUGAACCCUAGUUUCCAAAGUUUGCAGUCACUUCAUGGCCCAAAAUUGGUAUCCACUUCAUGACCACUGGGCCGCACACUUGGGUGUAAUGUAUGAAUUUAGCAUUUAUAAUGUCAAAAUAGCAACUGACAUUGAUACUAAUAGUAUCAGCUUCCAAAAUACUACUCCCUUCGUUCUAAUAUUUUAAUAUAGUUUAUCCAUCACAAAGUUUAAGAAAGAAAUGAAAGCUUUUAUAACUUGUGGUCUUAAACCUACCAUAGGAUUUGUGUGUUCAUGAACUUAUUGGAAAUUGUGGCCUUAAAGUUUAAACAUGCCAUAACAUUGUGUGUUAUAAAAACUUCUGAUUAAAGGUAAAUGAGAAGUGGAAAUUAUUUACUUCCAAAUUUAGAAUUGUGUUAUUCUUUUUGAACAUUCAAUUUGUGUCGCAUAAACAAGAACGGAGGGAGUAUAAUGAAAAUAUUAGUUCCAAGUUCCAAGUUCCAAAAUAGGUAUUACAAGAAACUGUAAUUUCUAUGAUGUUGGAGGAUAUAAUUGCAAUCAAUUGAUUCUCAGUUUCCAAUAAUUAACAAUAAAAUUGUAAAAGAUUUAUUUUUAUAGCAUGCAAUGGAUCUAUUUGUUUCCAAAUAAUCAGCCGAUAAAUCAAGAAUAAGAGAAAGGAAAAUGUUAUGGAGGAAAUACAAUAAAGGGAAAAAGUUGAUGGUAAAAUGCAUUUGGCUUUUCUAUUUCAGGUGCACUAAACUGUAUUCUAGUGCCAUUGAAUCAGUGCUAGAUGUCCUAGGUACCAUCUAGGAUUUGUUUCAUAUCUGAAAAAGAGAAGUCCAGAUUCCAGAAGCAGGUGCAACAAAAGAGGACUUGCAUUGUUGCACACCAGGAGGGAAUGUAGUCACCUUGAAGAAGAAAGAAGUAAAUCAAAAUAAGCAAA